rnacentral:rRNA from 1 species
GGCCGCGGGGAUUCGAUUCAGGCCUAACACAUGCAAGUCGAACGGCAGCACGGAGCUUGCUCUGGUGGCGAGUGGCGAACGGGUGAGUAAUAUAUCGGAACGUACCCUAGAGUGGGGGAUAACGUAGCGAAAGUUACGCUAAUACCGCAUACGAUCUAAGGAUGAAAGUGGGGGAUCGCAAGACCUCAUGCUCGUGGAGCGGCCGAUAUCUGAUUAGCUAGUUGGUAGGGUAAAAGCCUACCAAGGCAUCGAUCAGUAGCUGGUCUGGGAGGACGACCAGCCACACUGGAAGUGAGACACGGUCCAGACUCCUACGGGAGGCAGCAGUGGGGAAUUUUGGACAAUGGGCGAAAGCCUGAUCCAGAAAGGCCGCGUGAGUGAAGAAGCCCUUCGGGUU